GACCAUUGCUCUAAAAAUAAUAGUUUGUGCUUAAUAUAGAAAAGGCACUUUUGAUUUUGUUGUUAAAAAAACUAAACAUGCAAAAUGAUGCUUGGCUUAUUUGGCCUGUGAUAAAUCUCAAUUCUUUCUCUGCUAGUCCAUCAUCUGUGCUCUCGCUGUUGUGGGACAUGUGUCCAUCUUGGAGGCUGAGGAGAAAUUCCUGCGAGGACCUGUCACUGACGCAAGUGAGCGGGAGCACUUUGACAGGAGGAUAAAAAAACAACUAAAGAAGAGUGGCAAACCAUAGGAGAGUCAUCUACAGGAGCCAUCCUAUACAUGGUGUUAAUAAAUAACCCUUUUUUGUGAACAACAAUAUUGUCUCUUUCUUUUAAAUGGCCCUUGGAAUUUUAGAAAAGGGUAAAAUUGUGUUUGACUUCAUUAAAUGCUAUGUAGGACACUGUUCUAUAGCUGUAUGAUGACCAAUUGUGAAUAGUACAGCAGAUAUUUCAUUGAGGAUCAAUAUGAUUACACGGUACUGUAUGUCUAAUGGGCUAAAUAUGGUUAAUACCUAAAUGUAACUUUAUAUAAAUUCACAACA